GUACAGCACAUAUACUAAAACUGGAACGAUAAAGAUUAGCAUGCUCUGCGCAAGGAAGACCUGCAAAUUCGUGAAGUGUUCCAUAUUAAA
ensembl:snRNA U6 U6 spliceosomal RNA